rfam:Oryza sativa Japonica Group DNA, chromosome 2, cultivar: Nipponbare, complete sequence.
CUCUAUCAUAGUUUUACACUGUUUAUAUUUAACAUUUGAUCGUUCGUUUUAUUUGAAUUAUUUUAUGAUUAACAUUUUUAUUGUUAUUAAAUGAUAAAACAUAAAUAAUAUUUUAUGUGUGACUAAUUUUUUUAAAAAAAAUUAUAAAGAUGGAUAGUCAAAUAUUGGAUAUGAAUAUCUACAGUUGUACUUAUU